rnacentral:rRNA from 1 species
AUGGAUUUGAACAGCUCAGAGAAGUUGCCUUUGCCGAGCCGUCCACAGCCACCCUUCUGGUACUCUUCCCCUCUCUCGUCCUUCUCCAUGCACCCGAUCCUUUGGAUCAUCUCCAGGAACAACGUUGGCCUGAACAUAAUAGUUGAUGCAGUUAGAUUUGGAAUCACGGGGAGUAGAGCAAAGAAGCAGCUUGAAUUUAUAAUCCAGGUCUUGGAGAACAUUGUAAGCCUGCUGCUUCUAUUUGUGUACUGCGCCAGUAGAUCUCCUGAUGCCGCGGCGUGGAUCAGGCUAGAUCAGCUGCUGGAUGCUACGUUGACAAACGAGGUAGGCAGGAAGGCGUUCACGUCGCAAGGCUCGGCUCUGUUGAGGGUGGCUGCGUCCGUCUUCACUGAGAUCCAGUCGCUGCAGGAUCUCCGAAGGACAUUUCUCUGUUCCACGAACGUGUCGUUUCACCAUGCACCGACGUUCGGGUUGAUAUGCGGGCUGGUUGGAUUUGACAGUGAGACAACACCCAGGGCUUACAUGUUUGUGACAAUGAGGGAUGUGAUCUCCUUGGCGACGAUGUUCAAUUUGAUCGGACCGCUUGCUGCUUUGGUGCUGCAGCACCAGGUUACGCCAGAUGCUGAGAAGAAGCUGCAGAAGUGGAGGGACCGUGAUGUCUCUGAAGCAUCACAGACUGCGUCGCUGUUUGACACGUUGCAGGGCUGCCAUGGUCUAGGCUGUUUUGCUCCUGACAAUGAGUUUCGCUUCCAUAUAUUUCCGUCUCUCAUGUUGUACAAUGUCUUCAAGCAUACACAACAGAGGGCUCAAAUUCAUGGUACAUGUAUAAUUCAUGCCUUCAUAUUAUUCUGA